rnacentral:tRNA from 1 species
UUAAUUUUUAUAUUUAUAUUAAUUUUUACAUUAAAAUAAUAAAAAUUAAUAUAAAUAUUUUAAAUUAUU